GUACGGAUGGCAGAGUGAUUAAUGCACAGGUCUGCAAAACCUGGUCUCGUGGGUUUGAAUCCCACUCCAUACUCA
rnacentral:tRNA from 1 species